AACCCGCCUCCCUCCUAAGGUGUGGUCACACCUCUUCCUAUAAGACAUACCGCAUCACAGACAGAAGAAGCAUUGACAGAAAUUAUCAAGCAUGGGGAAAUUCAGCAUAACUUGGAUCGUCGCUCUCACUGCUCUUGUUAUUGCCUGCGGAUUGUGCACAGAUGCCUGCGCAGAACAGAAGCCUUGUUCCAAACGGUGUCCCUUCCGAUACGUACAUGACCAACAGGGUUGCAACAUGUGCCAGUGUUGUCCAGUUGUGCGAUGUCCCUUUUGUUGGCGAGGUUAUAUAAUAGCCAAGGGAGAAAACCGUUGUAUGUCGUGUCACUGUAAAUGGGGACUCUGAACCAACAUUUCAUCGGCAUGUUAUUUGUUAAUUGAUUUUAAUGUAAGUAAUCAAGCAUUAAAUGGAUAGUUAUUUCAGGGGUGCGAGUUUUCCUCUUUUCAGAUGAAAUCCUCAGAUUCGCUCAAUUUUCGAAAAAAUGAAAUGCUCUGGGUUUGAUGUAAAAUGACAGAAAGUGAUAAGUAGGGUGAAGUGAUUUUCUUCCCUUUUUGACCUAGACCAGAUUUUCUCUGAUUUCUGAGGAAUUCAGUCACAUCCCUGUUAUUUUGACGUCUAUUGCACUGAUAAUUCACAGUGGUGUUGCAGAUAGAUUAUAUAAUGCAUGUUAUUAAAAUUCAUCUGCAUAUCUUUAAGCGUUGUCAGCACAAUAGAUAUUAAAAUAAACAUUUAAUGCGAAUAUUUACAUUAAAUUCACACGUGUCCUUUAAAGAAUAUUGUAAUAUCUCAUUCCCUGGGACUUUCCGUUUUUAUUAAUUAAGGAGUUGAAACAGCCAUGGAAUAGCUGAAUGAUGAUACCUGUACUCUCCGUACUGUAAUUGUGAUGACAUCGUUAAUUGUUUAAUUAGUGAGACAUUAUGAUGUUCAUUCGGCCAUAUGUUUGAUAUUUUUUGGCAACCAAAUUAUAUUGUAAUGUAUAUAUUGUUGCAUACAUGCAAGUGUAAAAAAUAAUCAAUUUUGAUGCAUUCAUUUUAGAAAUACGAUUCUAAUAGGCCUGCAAGUAUCUAACUUGCGCAUGCGUUUUAAAAAGGAUAUAUCUUGAUUAGCUAGAUUUGCUCAC